GUUCGCCAUACUUGCGCAAGCGAGAGUAACAAGAUAGAAAGAUCUUUAUUUUCGUAAAUGUCGACAGUCUUCAUGCAAAAGGUGAGUACCAAGCGUUUUCUAAACGAACUGGAGACAAACGGAUUAUCGCCAAAGCGCGCGCCUGGUCGUACGUAUCGCAUUUGCAGAGAUUUCUUUGUUCGAAUAUCUACGAGACUAUCUCGAGAAAUUAACAGCCAGCGAGCCUACAAACCGAUUAGAAAAUUUGACAGUCACCGCUUAACUUUAUGUGAAAUAAACAGUCACGACAGAAUCGAACCGACGACGAACGUGAGUCGCAAUUAUGAAUUCGUCGGAACGAGAUCACACACGAAACCGUACAGAAUUCAAGAAACCGCGAGAAAGCGAAUAACGUCGCGAUGAAACGCGAAUCUGUACCGUCUUUGUUAUGUUUCAAAUAUAGUCUAUAUCUAUUGUUACCUC